UUCCGGUUGAUCCCGCCGGAGGCGACCGCUUUGGGAGUUCGAUUAAGCCAUGCGAGUCGUGAGUCUUAGGGACUCGGCAUACUGCUCAGUAACACGUGGAUAACCUGCCCUAUCGUCUGGAAUAACCUCGGGAAACUGAGAAUAAGGCCGGAUAGUUCACAAUGCCUGGAACGGUUUGUGAAUCAAGGUAGGAUGGGUCUGCGGCGUAUCAGGUUGUAGGGGGUGUAAAGGACCCCCUAGCCUUCGACGCGUACGGGUGUUGGGAGACAUAGCCCGGAGAUGGAUUCUGAGACACGAAUCCAGACCCUACGGGGUGCAGCAGGCGCGAAAACUUCACACUGCAGGAAACUGUGAUGAGGGAACUCCUAGUGCAUGCACUAUGUGUAUGUAGAUCCUACUCUUAACAAGUAGAGGGAAAGGGCUGGGAAAGACCGGUGCCAGCCGCCGCGGUAAUACCGGCAGCUCAAGUGGUCGUCGCUUUUAUUGGGCCUAAAACGUCCGUAGCCUGUUUGGUAAAUCUGUGGGUAAAUCAAUCCGCCCAACGGAUUGAAUUCUGCAGAGACUGCCAGACUAGGGACCGGGAGAGGUGUGGGGUACUCGAGGGGUAGGGGUAAAAUCCUGUCAUCCUUCGAGGACCACCAGUUGCGAAGGCGCCACACUGGAACGGAUCCGACGGUCAGGGACGAAGCCUAGGGGCACGAACCGGAUUAGAUACCCGGGUAGUCCUAGGCGUAAACGCUGUGAACUUGGUGUCGGGGGUUCGCAAGGGGUCCCCGGUGCCGGAGUGAAGAUGUUAAGUUCACUGCCUGGGGAGUACGGUCGCAAGGCUGAAACUUAAAGGAAUUGGCGGGGCAGCAC
rnacentral:rRNA from 1 species